rnacentral:rRNA from 1 species
CCUACGGGUGGCUGCAGUGGGGAAUAUUGCACAAUGGGGGAAACCCUGAUGCAGCAACGCCGCGUGAGUGAAGAAGUAUUUCGGUAUGUAAAGCUCUUUCAGCAGGGAAGAAGAUUACGGUACCUGAGUAAGAAGCCCCGGCUAACUACGUGCCAGCAGCCGCGGUAAUCCGUAGGGGGCAAGCGUUAUCCGGCUUUACUGGGUGUAACGGGAGCGUAGACGGUGAGACAAGUCUGAAGGGAAAGCCCGGGGCCCCACCCCGGGACUGCGUUGGAAACGGCCGGACUGGUGUGCUGGCGAGGCCACCGGCCUUCCUAGUGUAGCGGUGAGCUGCGUAGAUAUUAGGAAGAACACCAGUGGCGACGGCGGCUUGCUGGACAGUAACUGACGUUGCGGCUCGAACGCGUGGGGAGCACACAGGAUUAGAUACCCCUGUAGUC